UUGGCUCAANCAAUGUAUGCUUUGGAAACUGUUAGACUUGAGUGCAGAAGGGGAGAGUGGAAUUCCAUGUGUAGCGGUGAAAUGCGUAGAUAUAUGGAGGAACACCGGUGGCGAAAGCGGCUCUCUGGUCUGUCACUGACGCUGAGGCUCGAAAGCGUGGGUAGCGAACAGGAUUAGAUACCCUGGUAGUNCACGCCGUAAACGCUGAGUGCUAGGUGUUAGGUCCUUUCCGGGACUUAGUGCCGACGCUAACGCAUUAAGCACUCCGCCUGGGGAGUACGACCGCAAGGUUGAAACUCAAAGGAAUUGACGGGGGCCCGCACAAGCGGUGGAGCAUGUGGUUUAAUUCGAAGCAACGCGAAGAACCUUACCAGGUCUUGACAUCCCGAUGCCCGCUCUAGAGAUAGAGUUUUUCUUCGGAACAUCGGAGACAGGUGGUGCAUGGUUGUCGUCAGCUCGUGUCGUGAGAUGUUGGGUUAAGUCCCGCAACGAGCGCAACCCUUAUUGUUAGUUGCCAUCAUUAAGUUGGGCACUCUAGCGAGACUGCCGGUAAUAAACCGGAGGAAGGUGGGGAUGACGUCAAAUCAUCAUGCCCCUUAUGACCUGGGCUACACACGUGCUACAAUGGUUGGUACAACGAGUCGCAAGCCGGUGACGGCAAGCUAAUCUCUGAAAGCCAAUCUCAGUUCGGAUUGUAGGCUGCAA
rnacentral:rRNA from 1 species